AUAGCGUAUAUUAAAGUUGUUGCAGUUAAAAAGCUCGUAGUUGAAUUUCGGGAUUGACACAUCGGUCGUGCCUUAAGGGGUAUGAACUGGUGUAGUCAAUUUCUCACCUUCUGGAGAACCGCGAUGCCCUUAAUUGGGUGUCGCGGGGAACCAGGACCUUUACUUUGAAAAAAUUAGAGUGUUUAAAGCAGGCAUUUUGCUUGAAUACAUUAGCAUGGAAUAAUAAAAUAGGACGGCAUGAUUCUAUUUUGUUGGUUUCUAGGAUCACCGUAAUGAUUAAUAGGGAUAGUUUGGGGCAUUAGUAUUCACUUGUCAGAGGUGAAAUUCUUGGAUUUAUUUCAGAAUAACUACUG
rnacentral:rRNA from 1 species